UACGAAGGGUGCUAGCGUUGCUCGGAAUCACUGGGCGUAAAGCGCUCGUAGGCGGCUUCUUAAGUCAGGGGUGAAAUCCUGGAGCUCAACUCCAGAACUGCCUUUGAUACUGAGGAGCUUGAGUCCGGGAGAGGUGAGUGGAACUGCGAGUGUAGAGGUGAAAUUCGUAGAUAUUCGCAAGAACACCAGUGGCGAAGGCGGCUCACUGGCCCGGUACUGACGCUGAGGUGCGAAAGCGUGGGGAGCAAACAGG
rnacentral:rRNA from 1 species